GUGGUUUAGAACUUUAUUUUGCUGACAAAUAUUCGAUUGAACAAUAAGUAAGAACUAAUCGCUAGAAUGGGUUUUUUUCCUCCAAUUUGGUAUAUAUUUUCCAGAACAAACACAAAAGUGAAAACCCAAAAGGAAGAUGAAAUUGAGUUGAUAAAUCAAUUGAACCCCUCCUCAAUCCUGUGUCUCUGCUACUGCCCAACCACGAUGAGACACACGCACACAGGCACACACAGAUAGACAAAAGAAAGACCAAAGAUGAAGAAAAAGAAGAUAUGCCAAGAAAUUGCUUCAAGUGAUCCGAUAAUAAGACUCUAAGCUUAUAGAUCUAAGGGAGAAAGCAGAAAGAUGUGGAUGAUCUGGAGACGUGGCAACAGCAACAGCAAACAGUAGUAGCAGCAGCUACAAGAAUAACUACAAUAACACACACAUACACAUCCCCAGUCCCCCAACCAAAGAGAUAUAUAUAUAUGCAUUAGCCAUUGUAUAUACUACGAUUAUAUAUACCUAAGAAUAUAGAGAACUUUGAUUCGAUUGUACAUACCGCAGCAGCAGCAAUAUAACCAACAGAUCCAAAGAACAUGCUAGCUUGAAGUAGUCACCCAUCCCAACCGACAGAUCUUUAAGUCACUAAGAACUCCCCCGAACCCCUCCCUAUAGAGCAGACUUUAAGAUGCUUCCUUAAUUUGUUUCCUCCACACAAACACACAAACACACAAACACAAUCACACUCAAAGGAAGGGUUAACGAUUAACCCAUGAGAAAACGGCAACAACCAGCAAAAAAAAAAUAAUAUAAUUCAAAUUUUUUUUUUUAUUUGUCUAUUUAUAAGUAAAUUAAUGCCGGGUGGAAAGAAGUGCCCCCCAACACCAAAAUAAAGUAAUGAAAUGUUAGCAGCAACUGGAGAUAUUGCAACGAAUUUAAAAUGUUGCCAAACUAAACUAAAAAAAAAAAGAAAAAGAAAACUAAACGAGGAUCAUGAGCGUGACGAAGGAAACCAAAAAUUAAAUCAAUAAAAUCACUCUAUGACAACUAUAAAAUUACAUAUAAAUAUAUAGUAUAUAUUUAAAGAAUUUUAAAGACAAAACUAUAUACUAUACAUACAAUUUUUUUGUUGUUUUCCCUUCAUAGUUUUAACAUAGAAUUGUACAUAUAAAACGAGGCGAUAAAUAACAAUGAUGAUGAUAUACAUAUAUACCUACAUAUAUAUAGAGAGGGCGCGUGUAAAUGAUUUUGAAAGUGUAGACCAUAGGCGGAAUAAAGACAACCCAAACAAAAACAUACAACCAAAAAAGAAACAACAAAAUCAUGAAGAGCGCAAAAAAUGCAAUAAUAAUUUUAAAGUAAGAAACGAAAACCAAGCCCCGAGAAUAACAUAAAAAAAACAACACAAAAGAA
rnacentral:lncRNA from 1 species